UACGGGGGGGGCAAGCGUUGUUCGGAAUUACUGGGCGUAAAGCGUGCGUAGGCGGUUCGUUAAGUUCGUUGUGAAAGCCCCGGGCUCAACCUGGGAAUGGCAAUGGAAACUGGCGGGCUUGAGUAUGGCAGAGGGGGGUGGAAUUCCGCGUGUAGCAGUGAAAUGCGUAGAGAUGCGGAGGAACACCGAUGGCGAAGGCAGCCCCCUGGGCCAAUACUGACGCUCAGGCACGAAAGCGUGGGGAGCAAACAGG
rnacentral:rRNA from 1 species